GUCACACCCGUUCCCAUACCGAACACGGAAGUUAAGCUCUUCAGCGCCGAUGGUAGUUGGGGGUUUCCCCCUGUGAGAGUAGGACGCCGCCAAGC
rnacentral:rRNA from 1 species